UAAAGCAAUAACAGCACCUUCAAAUUCAGCGCCUCUGCCACUGUUGAUGGUGGUUGGACUAAAUGCUUUCCAGAUGAUGUUUUCACAGAUAUUGGUUGCUAUGAAAAGUGAGAUUCCAGAGCCCAGGCCAUAUCCUUUCUGGAGAAGUUCAUCCAAACAGAUCACAAUAAUCCCAGCAAAGCAAAGCUGAAUGAUAAUUAGAAUGGCAUUUCCCACUCCAAGUUGGCUAACACUACCAUACAUCCCCGAGAGAACAUAAGCCACUGCUUCACCAACAGCUAUCAGAAUGCCCAACAAUUUUUGAGCACCAUUUAAGAGAGCACGGUCUUCACGUACAUUGUUGUC
rnacentral:misc_RNA from 1 species